GUUUCUUUACUUUUUCAGUGAAGCGGGAACUGUCAAUUAUUUUCCAUGUUGACAUUUAACACACGUUAGUGCAUUGUUCGUACCCCAUGUGUGGCUGGCGUGCCGGCGUCUUGAUCGCAACUGUCUGGCCAGGGCAAGUGAUAUGCGUGUUUUCCCUCUACUGCCUGUAGGUUGUAGCGGCAAGGUGGCAGCCCAUAGCUGGUAGACGGUGGGCGCGUGUGUCCGGUCUUCGUGCUAUUAGGCAGGUUUAACGACGUGCGACCCGAUCUGAAGACAGUGUCAGGCGGGAGUUUGACUGGGGCGAUGAAUCUGUCAAAUCGUAACGCAGGUGUCCCAAGGUGAGCUCAGCCAGGACAGAAACCUGGCGUAGAGUAAAAGGGCAAAAGCUUACUUAAUUUUGAUUUUCAGUACGAAUACAGACCGUGAAAGCGUAGCCUAGCGAUCGUUUUGGGGUUAGGUAUGGCUGUUUGACGGUGGCUAAUAAGCCAGAAAUGGCCAUUCUGGCCUCCCUUAUCUUUGUCGGUAAUGCCUUUUUGCCUAUAAUUAUAUCCAACAUGCGGCUGCUGGCUCGGCUCGUGGGUGAGCUCCAAGGCACGAUGGGGCGAGUGAGUUUUGUUUACAAUAAAUGAACACAUAUGCACCAUUCUUAUGUACAUCAAACAUAUAUAUUCGCUGAUCUACACUACCAUCGCUUUUUUUCAAAUGUCAUAGCUCUAUCCCCUUGACAGGGAAGUGAAAGUAGUUCUGUCAGGCUAACGACAUGUACUUCCGAGGAUAAGAGUUCACCCUCGUUGUUGCCGCAGACUUUCAAUGAUGAUCCUGUCGAAAGAAACGGCCGUAAAAAUAUGCUCUGAUGAGAGCCUCUGGAUUCUGUAAUAGGGCACAUUAAGAGGCUACCACCUGUGACUGCCACUUUCACUUUCGAAAUACUAUCCGAAUCGGCGAGGCGUCUGUCUGUGGAUAGCAGCCACCACUUACUUGUCAUCCAGUUCAUAACCGUGGAUGACAUUUUCCCGUUUAGCUCCUUCUUGGACUAACUGGACUGCUCAGGUAGAUGCUUUCUUGCGUAGCUGUGCUUCAGCUGCCAUUUUCCCUCUGACUUAGGGCCAGGAGUACAGGAGUUCCCUGUAUGGGAGGUUGGCCCAUUGAUCACCUUUUACCUUUUCCUUUCUUUCAGGUGGGACACGAGGGCGGUCACGACGACACUUACCCCUGUUGCUUCACCCCUGUGAGCUCGGGGUCGACGAGCUCCUGAAAUAUACAGUGGCGCAGUCCAAAAAGUUGGUGGUGCGAAUUGUCUGGUUAAUUCCUUUUACAAACGAGACUCUAGCCUGCUAAUUAGUACGUCAGUCCUCUGUUCCUGUGCUGGCGGCGUUUUGGUUAAACUGCUCAUUUUAGCUGACUACUUUCGAGCCGUGCAUUUCUUUGCGCGCGUUUGCCACGAGCCCCUCCCGGGGUGAGUGAUGUGCAUGCAUGUAGGGGCGUGGAUGUUGUAGGAGGUGUGAGCGGUUGGUUCUGCGAUAGCCUCCGGGUACGGCGCAGGUGUGUCUACUUCUUAGAGGGAUAAGCAUAAAAAUGUGCACGAAAUUGAACAAUAAGAGGUCUGUGAUGACCUCAAAGUUUCGGGGCCAAGCGUAGGCUAUAAUGAGUGUGCCAACGAGUCUGACCUUCUGGCCCGAAAAGAUUGGGCAAACUGGUCAAUCGCCGUCAUGACAGGGAUCGGAGCUUGGAAUUGUUCCCCGUGAACGAGGAAUUCCUAGUAAGUGCAAGGUAUAAGCUUGAGCUGAUUACGUUCCUGCCCUUUGUACACAACGCCCGUCGAUACUACCGAUUGAAUGGUUUAGUAAGGCCCUCGGAUUGGCGCCAUUGCAGUGCCAGCCGCAAGGUUGGUGCUCGGCAGGUGCCGAGAAGAUGACUUAAGUUGAUCAUUUGGAGGAAGUUAAAGUCGUAGCAAGGUUUUCGUAGGUGAACCUGCGGAAGGAUCAUUA
rnacentral:ncRNA from 1 species